rnacentral:lncRNA from 1 species
GUUAUUUCAAUAAGGUAAACAAACUCUGGGAUGAAAUGGAGUCUUUUGAAGCUAACUCUUUUUUUGUAUGUGAAUAUAAAUAUGGAGGUAAACACAAAAUGAUUAUAAAGAUGAAAAAUCAGAAAUUGAUGCAAUUUUUGAUGGGUUUGAAUUAGGUAUUCAACAAAGCUAGAGGAAAUAUUAUGAUGAUACAACCACUUCCUGAAGUUAGCAAGGCUUAUUCUCUAGUUGUUCAAGAUGAGAAGCAGAGAGGGAUUCAUAAUGUAACUGAUUUUCAGUAUAACUUUGAAACCUUUUCUGCUGGAUCUAAUCGUCCCACUUAUAAUCCAAAACCACCUCAAACCACCAAUUUUACACAGAAAUAUACUUUUAACAAUCCAAAUCCUAACAAUCAGGGUUUCAACAAUCAAAAGGGAGGCUAUGAUCCAAAAGGCUCUAUUGCAAAUAUUGUAAAAAGAGUGGACAUGUAAUUGAGAAGUGCUACAGGUUGCAUAGGUUUCCACAACCUUAUAAAUCAGGGAACAAGAAUGUCCGAGUUGCUGCACCUGUUCAUACUUCUCAUGAUUCUAAGCCUGAUCAUUCUCUUGAGAAAUGAAUAUUGCAAAUACCAUCACACCUAAUUAGUACAGGAAACUUAUGAAUAUCCUUCAACAUGUUCAAGUUGGUCCUGAUGAUUCUCAAAGUCACUCUGCCACAACUAACUUUGCAAGUAUAUUUGCUUUCUCUUCUUAUCUGAUGAGUUGUGGUACUUGUACUUGUUUAAGUAGAGUUCUAACUCCUGAAACCUGGAUUCUAGAGUAUCAGAUCAUAUGAACUUUAACAAAUUUUUGUAUACAAAUAUAACAACGCUACAUGUUCCCUAUCUUAUUACAUUACCCAAUGGGUAUAAAGUAAAAGUGAUCUCAAUUGGUUCUGUCCAAUUAAAUCCUUCAGCCGCUGUAUCCAAGGUUUAUAUGUGCCUACUUUUAAAUACAAUCUUAUUUCAGUUCACAAGUUAUUAGUUAAUACUUCAUCACUGAUGUUUUUUCACAAUAUGUUUGUUUUCUAUAGGGCUCUUCUUUGAAGAUGCCAUUGGUACCUAGUAAGAUGACUAAAGGGCUCUAUCUGUACAACUCAAGAUCACAAUCUCCAGUCACACAUUCUAGACCUCCAUCAACUUGUCCUUCCACUCGUUUAAUUCCUUUUCUAUUCAUGCAAAUGCAUUAAAUGUAAAUAAGUCCCAACUUCUAUGUCAUAAUAGGUUGGGACACCUUACUGUUUUAAAAUUACAAAAAAUAAACUCUUUGAAUGUAC